rnacentral:lncRNA from 1 species
AGCAUGUAGCCGCUGUUUCUCAGAGUUGAUGGAACACAGCAUGAAGGGGCAGGAAAGCCUCAUGCUGUCACAGUUUGCUCUUCCAGUUGAUGCCCUAGCAUCGCCUUUAUAGUAUCACACCUCACGUGAAAGGUUGAUAAUGUUGCUGUUGACAUUCUGAUGGCUCCUAAAAUCAGCUUUAUAUAAAAAAUCUUAUCUUCAAAUUGCAACAUGCAGCUAAUUAGAACCUUUCAAAAGCAUUACCUCAUAGAACCAAAUUGCUUUUUAAACUUUUUAAUACAAAAUUUUAAUGAGGAAGUUUUUAUCUUUGAGUCUUUCACAAAAAUUCUUAACUUUUUAAGAUUCUAAUGUGCACAAUAUUUCUGAGUACAGUGUGUUUGUAAAGUGGAGAAAUGCUGAAGGAAUUUAUGUGCGAAAGCAGUAUGUUGCAUGUACAUUGUAUGUUCUAGUCUGCCAGUUAGCUGCAAACAUUGUUACUAUCCAGACGUGCACAUUCAUUGGAAUGCAUGUAUCUGGAACUACAAGUUGAAAUAAACACACCUGCCUUUUAUUUCAAUAACUGCACAUUCAAACGGACCUGAGAUUUAUUUGAAUGGAGUGAGCUACUUUAUGUCCAAGGGUAUCCUAGAUGAUUCGCCAAAGGAAAUAGCAAAAUUUAUCUUCUGUACCAGAACACUAAAUUGGAAAAAACUGA